CUGCCUUCCCCUCGUUCAGACGCACUGCCUCAGCUCAGACUGUGUGAGCUGCUCCUGGACAAACAUGUUCGUUCCACCUCCAGCUGCAGUGAUGGGCUCAUCAGUGAAGGCGUUCCUCCUCAUCACGGGUCAGACUCACGGAGCUGACCAGCAGAUCCUGGAUCAGCUGGAGAGGCAGGGACUGAGAGUCAGACCUACAGUCGACCUACAGCAGAGCGAUGUCAUCCUCCUCUUCUGUCCUAUCCUGUCCCGGGUCCGCUCCGACGUGGAGGCGGCUUUCAGAAAGAUCCCAGAUGGAGCUGAGGAUAAACCAGUGCUCCUCGUCCUGCUGCAUCACACUCGUAAAGUGGAGCAGGUGCUGAAGCCGAGCAACUGGAAGGAGGAGUUCCCCAACAUCACUCUGGAAGUCCAAGUUCUGUAUCAUGAGUCUCAGAACGGUCUGCUGCAGGACUGUCCCAGGAACCAGGAGGCCAUUCAGACCCUCGUGAGCCUGAGCCAUGAACUCCAGACCACUGUGAAGACUGAACCUAAGCCCAAAAGAUGUUGCUGUACAUUGUUAUAAAAGAAUGACUCAAUUGUAAUUCAACCUUAGCUGACUACUUCAUUGUUU
rnacentral:lncRNA from 1 species